rnacentral:miRNA from 1 species
UUUCCUGUCGGCUCACGGUCAGA